GCUGGGCGUGGUGUCGCGCGCCUGUAAUCCCAGCUACUCAGGAGGCUAAGGCAGGAGAAUCACUUGAACCCAGGAGGCGGAGGUUGCAGUGAGCCAAGAUCGUGCCACUGCACUCCAGCCUGGGUGACAGAGUGAGACUCCGUCUCAA
rnacentral:SRP_RNA from 1 species